rnacentral:rRNA from 1 species
GACGAACGCUGGCGGCGUGCUUAACACAUGCAAGUCGAACGGAAAGGCCCUGCUUUUGUGGGGUGCUCGAGUGGCUAACGGGUUAGUAACACGUGAGUAACCUGCCCUUGACUUUGGGAUAACUUCAGGAAACUGGGGCUAAUACCGGAUAGGCGCUCCUGCUGCAUGGUGGGGGUUGGAAAGUUUCGGCGGUUGGGGAUGGACUCGCGGCUUAUCAGCUUGUUGGUGGGGUAGUGGCUUACCAAGGCUUUGACGGGUAGCCGGGCUGAGAGGGUGACCGGCCACAUUGGGACUGAGAUACGGCCCAGACUCCUACGGGAGGCAGCAGUGGGGAAUAUUGCACAAUGGGCGGAAGCCUGAUGCAGCAACGCCGCGUGCGGGAUGACGGCCUUCGGGUUGUAAACCGCUUUCGCCUGUAAAGAAGCGUGAGUGACGGUAAUGGGUAAAGAAGAACCGGCUAACUACGUG